rnacentral:tRNA from 1 species
UCCCGCAAAGAAACCAAAGUGCAAAUUUGGCCGCGCACCCUAAAAGGUGCCGGGGCUUCUCCCGUUUUUAGAGAGACGGGAGAAGG